GAUGAACGCUGGCGGCGUGCCUAAUACAUGCAAGUCGAGCGAAAAGAUGAGGAGCUUGCUCUUCUGACGUUAGCGGCGGACGGGUGAGUAACAAGUGGAUAACCUACUUAUCAGACUGGGAUAACUUCGGGAAACCGGAGCGAAUAAAGGAUAAUAUAUUGAACCGUAUGGUUCAAUAGUGAAAGGCGGUUUUGUUGUCUGUGAUAGAUGGAUCCGCGCCGCCUUAGCUAGUUGGUAAGGUAACGGCUUACCAAGGCGACGAUGCGUAGCCGACCUGAGAGGGUGAUCGGCCACACUGGAACUGAGACACGGUCCAGACUCCUACGGGAGGCAGAAGUAGGGGAUCUUACUCAAUGGGCGAAAGCCUGACGGAGCAACGCCGCGUUAGUGAUAAAGAUCUUCGUAUCGUAAAACUCUGUUUUUAGGGAAGAACAAAUGUGUAAGGAAAUGUGCACGUCUUGACGGUACCUGAUCAAAAAGCCACGGCUAACUACGUG
rnacentral:rRNA from 1 species